ensembl:lncRNA
CAUCGUUCUAAUCCCAUACGGGAGCAGCCAUUCACUUACUGACUAACACUGCAAAACAGAAUUGUUAAAGUUUUAAUUUUAAUUUCAAUUCAGGUUAGAUUUUUUUUUGUGCGCAACGCAGAUUUUCUGUGCGGAGAGACCGUGCCAGCAGUGCGCAAUUGCGCACGCGCGCAGUUUAGAGGGAACAUUGUGCCCAGUAUCAGCUUACACUUCAUCUAUAAUAUGGAAGAAACUGGCUACAUUGUAUACAUAUAUUUGGGCAAAUAGUGCAUAAAUUUCCCUUUGUGCAGUAAUGUCCUCACUGUUUUGGAGGGUAAUAAGUUGUCAGGAGUGGGUACUGAGAUAGGCCUUCCAGGCUAUAAAAGCAGGUCCAGAUAAACUGCUCAUGGAUCUAUCUUACAUGCCACUAGGCAUUAACCCUGUGUGGUGUUUGUAUUUGUUACAUUUUUAAUUUUACAUUUGUUGUAUAUGUUAGUAUUUUUUUUUUAUUAGAAAAUGGCCAUGUCUGUGUCAGCAGUAAAAUCAAGGCUUUAAAUUUCCCUAACCCUAACCCAAGUUUUUUGGGACACAAGAUAGUGUCUAAUUUUUGCUUGGUUAUUACAUUGUUAGGAUAGUAAUAGUAGCGCUAUUUUUUGUUUGGUUUGCAAACAUAUUAAAUUCUUUUAGGAUAAGUAGAGCCGCAUAAAUGUCCCUUUGGUAGACUUAGGUAGGCAAACCAAGCUGUUUUUCAAUUUAAUGUGGCAAAGAACAUAGCCAAAGAUAAUGUUUGGGAAGUAUUUCCCUAUUUACCAGAGAGAUACCAUUUUAUGGUUGCCCUUUAUGCCAGUGGAAUCAGUGUAUCUGCCUGAAGACUGGGGCUGAAACUAGUCUGGAAUGGUUAGCUCAUUAGUUGGGCCUUUUACUUCACCUUUGAAUUUUCAGAAGUAAAUACACUGGUAUUUGUCCAUGGGUUUAUGGCCUUACAAAAUCUAUGGCUAGUCUUUAAGAAACAUGCUAUAUGAUAUGUUGG